rnacentral:rRNA from 1 species
UGGGGAAUUUUGGACAAUGGGGGCAACCCUGAUCCAGCCAUGCCGCGUGCGGGAAGAAGGCCUUCGGGUUGUAAACCGCUUUUGUCAGGGAAGAAACGCGCUGAGCUAAUACCUCGGCGUAAUGACGGUACCUGAAGAAUAAGCACCGGCUAACUACGUGCCAGCAGCCGCGGUAAUACGUAGGGUGCAAGCGUUAAUCGGAAUUACUGGGCGUAAAGCGUGCGCAGGCGGCUUUGCAAGACAGAUGUGAAAUCCCCGGGCUCAACCUGGGAACUGCAUUUGUGACUGCAAAGCUAGAGUACGGCAGAGGGGGAUGGGAAUUCCGCGUGUAGCAGUGAAAUGCGUAGAUAUGCGGAGGAACACCGAUGGCGAAGGCAGUCCCCUGGGCCUGGUACUGACGCUCAUGCACGAAAGCGUGGGGAGCAAACGAGGAUUAGGAUACCCUGGUAGUCCACGCCCUAAACGAUGUCAACUGGUUGUUGGACGGC